UUGAUGCGCGUGCUAUAAUGCAGUCGAGCGAAUCAAUGAGAGCUUGCUUCUGUUGAUUAGCGGCGGACGGGUGAGUAACACGUGGGCAACCUGCCUGUAAGACUGGGAUAACUUCGGGAAACCGGAGCUAAUACCGGAUAAUUCUUUUCCUCUCAUGAGGGAAAGCUGAAAGACGGUUUACGCUGUCACUUACAGAUGGGCCCGCGGCGCAUUAGCUAGUUGGUGAGGUAACGGCUCACCAAGGCGACGAUGCGUAGCCGACCUGAGAGGGUGAUCGGCCACACUGGGACUGAGACACGGCCCAGACUCCUACGGGAGGCAGCAGUAGGGAAUCUUCCACAAUGGACGAAAGUCUGAUGGAGCAACGCCGCGUGAGCGAUGAAGGCCUUCGGGUCGUAAAGCUCUGUUGUUAGGGAAGAACAAGUACCGGAGUAACUGCCGGUACCUUGACGGUACCUAACCAGAAAGCCACGGCUAACUACGUGCCAGCAGCCGCGGUAAUACGUAGGUGGCAAGCGUUGUCCGGAAUUAUUGGGCGUAAAGCGCGCGCAGGCGGUCCUUUAAGUCUGAUGUGAAAGCCCACGGCUCAACCGUGGAGGGUCAUUGGAAACUGGGGGACUUGAGUGCAGAAGAGGAAAGCGGAAUUCCACGUGUAGCGGUGAAAUGCGUAGAGAUGUGGAGGAACACCAGUGGCGAAGGCGGCUUUCUGGUCUGUAACUGACGCUGAGGCGCGAAAGCGUGGGGAGCAAACAGGAUUAGAUACCCUGGUAGUCCACGCCGUAAACGAUGAGUGCUAAGUGUUAGGGGUUUCCGCCCCUUAGUGCUGCAGCUAACGCAUUAAGCACUCCGCCUGGGGAGUACGGCCGCAAGGCUGAAACUCAGAGAAAAGUUAGCCGGACUUA
rnacentral:rRNA from 2 species